CCAACCUCCGUAUCUAAUACUAUACCAGGCUGCCCAGGGCCCCAUCCAACCUGACCUUGAACACCUCCAGGUGGUAAAAGAUGGGCCAUAAUCUUUUUGUGAGAAGUACUUGUAAAUUACUUCUUACAGGCAGAUUAGUAACUUCUUAGAAGGGAAAAAAAUUUAAGAAAAUGCUUUGCGUCAAUUUUAAAAUGCAGAAAACAUCCACUUCCUUGUAAACUUUAUUAGUUAAGUAUUAUCUGAAAGAAAUGUCAGGCUGACUCUUCACAAAUUGUUUGCUGCUGAUUCUCCUGUUACUUUAUGGAUGUUCUGAAAGUCUUCACACCAGCUGCUUUGGAAAAUUGCUAAAUCUGGGGGCAGGUUUCAUUCAGUAGCAUCGUUGUUGUGUCAGGUACACACAGUUGAGUGGGCUGGUCAUGUGCUUCCUGUCUGUCAGCCCAUCACUGUUGAUAGGUGCUUGAAGGAAAAUUGCAGUUAUUUUAUGCAGCACUGGAUGCUGAAAGUUCAUGUGUCAGGAAAAGAGGGACAUGGAUGAAAAAUCUUUCAUAAGACUAUUUUUUUUUAAUCUGCAGAAUUUCUUUUUAAAUGCUACCCUUUGAGGGGCAGUUAUCUUUUGUGGUCUUGUGUUAAUUUGGACAUCCUGAUGCUCCUUGAAGAGGAUGUUAUACUCGGUCUGGACAAUCUCAGGUGGACAAACUCAGGUGGUUGCUUUUCGGAACUGUUGAAGUCCACAUGAAGGCUGGUGGAGAGCUGCGGUGCGCAUUUUCCCGACUUCACGGAGGUACAGCUCAUUGGGAGAAGCUGGCAGCUCUGAGGGGAGCAGAGUGAAGCCAAAUACUGAACUGCGUGCUGGAGGCUGCUGUUGACUACAGAAGGAGUAGAAGUGACCAGCUGAGAUCAGCUUCUAGAUGAGUAAAGCCAGUAUUAAAGGCAGAAAUCAAAGCACAGGACCCAUGGGAAGCGACGUUUCAAAUGUACACCAUUGCUUUUCUUUGUCAUUGUUCUGAACUAUGCACCCCCUGCUCCUGACAGCGUACCCACAACAAGAUAAGGAGUUUGAGUGUGCUUACGUGUCUUCUGUGGAAAGAGGAGCAACGGCUUGCCAUGAGCACUGCCCACCAAAUUGGAAGUAAGUGUUGCAUCUAAUCUUAUUUAUUUUUCCUACCAAACUUUUUCCAUGUUUAGUGUUUUGAGAGGGCAGAUGAAUGAAGAAGGAGCUUCGUAGCCAGCCAUGGGUUCUGCCAGGUGCCUUCUUGCCUUUUAGGUCAACUUUUGGGAAGAUGCUACUACCAGCAGUCCCAAAGAUUCAUAGUGAUGGAAGGUUUUUCUCUUAUAGUCCAUGAGUGAACAAAAUUUCUUCCAAAAUAUUUGUUACAAAACCCUUAAUUCUUAUUAGUAUUUCUGUUAAUGAUAACACUGAGAGCAAAUAGAAAUGAAGAACAUCUGUACAGAAGUGAGCAAACCAUUUUCUUAAUCCAUUAAAUGAAAGUGGCCCAUCACUUGUCAUGGAGUUAUUUACAGAAAUGGCUAGUGGAGAUAAAUUUAUACUCUGAUUUCCAUGUUGUAUGGCAAGCAAGAAAAUUUGCAUGUAGAUGCCAUCAAUCCAGCAUGUCUCAUAAACACUAUAUUCAUGUAAUAGCUCAGAAAAUACUGAACAGAUCUUCCUGCAAGUGAGUGGCAUUUGGACUCAGCUUGGGUACUCACCAAUUUGAAUCCAGUCCACAAACUGGAAUUUUCACUGUGCUAGAGUCUUCCAGAAAUUAUUACUUUUUAUGGCAGACUGGAUGCAGUACUGUUUGCUCCUCCAUCACAAAGACUGUGCCAGGGCUUCUGCUGUAAAAUCUCUUACUAAAAAGAAAACACAAUUCAACCAAUAUAUUGUGCUCCUGGCUAAGAAUUGGCAUACAAAAAUUCAUCCUGGAAAUUUUUAUUAGUAGCAAACAAUAGUAACUUCUCAGAGUGCAAAAUAAUGCAUGAACUCCCUUUUGCUGAGCAUUAACUAAUUUUUAUGGCAUUGUAGUAAUCAGUUGUUGUAAAGCUGGCUUGGAAAAGAGAGAGCAGUAAGAUACAGCGGGUACCAAUGGUGCAGUAACAUGUACCCACUCCAGUGCCAACUGGAGAUCACCAGCUGAUGAUAAGGGCAGCCCCAAGGCUGUAGAAAUGGGAGUGUCCUCAUUUCAGCUGGAACAGAGCUGAUUUUUCCUUUGGAGUAUCUGGUAUGUUUUUGCUUGAAGAGAAAAACAGUGUCAAUAGUACACUGAUCUUUCAGUUGUGCUGAGAAGUGCUAUAAAGGGCCAAGAAUGUUCCAGUUACUGAGCUUCUAUUGUCCUGACACUGAGGUGUUGGGAGGGGACAGAACCAGGACAACUGACCUGAACAGGCCAAAAGGGUAUUCCAUUA